GGGGACCCGCAAGCGGUGGAGCAUGUGGUUUAAUUCGAAGCAACGCGAAGAACCUUACCAGCUCUUGACAUCUUCUGCUAACUCUAGAGAUAGAGUGUUCCCUUCGGGGACAGAAUGACAGGUGGUGCAUGGUUGUCGUCAGCUCGUGUCGUGAGAUGUUGGGUUAAGUCCCGUAACGAGCGCAACCCUUAUUGUUAGUUGCCAGCAUUCAGUUGGGCACUCUAGCGAGACUGCCGGUGAUAAACCGGAGGAAGGCGGGGAUGACGUCAAAUCAUCAUGCCCCUUAUGAGCUGGGCUACACACGUGCUACAAUGGAUGGUACAACGAGUUGCGAGACCGUGAGGUUUAGCUAAUCUCCUAAAGCCAUUCUCAGUUCGGAUUGCAGGCUGCAACUCGCCUGCAUGAAGUCGGAAUCGCUAGUAAUCGCGGAUCAGAAUGCCGCGGUGAAUUCGUUCCCGGGGUCUUGUACACACC
rnacentral:rRNA from 1 species